rnacentral:rRNA from 1 species
AUUGAACGCUAGCGGGAUGCCUUACACAUGCAAGUCGAACGGCAGCACGGACUUCGGUCUCGUGGCGAGUGGCGAACGGGUGAGUAAUGUAUCGGAACGUGCCCAGUAGCGGGGGAUAACUACGCGAAAGCGUAGCUAAUACCGCAUACGCCCUACGGGGGAAAGCAGGGGAUCGCAAGACCUUGCACUAUUGGAGCGGCCGAUAUCGGAUUAGCUAGUUGGUGGGGUAACGGCUCACCAAGGCGACGAUCCGUAGCUGGUUUGAGAGGACGACCAGCCACACUGGGACUGAGACACGGCCCAGACUCCUACGGGAGGCAGCAGUGGGGAAUUUUGGACAAUGGGGGAAACCCUGAUCCAGCCAUCCCGCGUGUGCGAUGAAGGCCUUCGGGUUGUAAAGCACUUUUGGCAGGAAAGAAACGUCGCGGGUUAAUACCUCGCGAAACUGACGGUACCUGCAGAAUAAGCACCGGCUAACUACGUG